rnacentral:lncRNA from 10 species
UGUAGUCCCAGCUACUUGGGAGGCUGAGGUGGGAGGAUCACUUGAGCCCAGGAGGUGGAGGUUGCAGUGAGCCAUGAUUGCGCUACUGCACAAUUGCAACAUUGCACUCCAGCCUGGACCACAGAGUGAGAUCUUGUCUCAAAAAAAAAUAAAAAUAAAAAUUGAUAGUUAAGGCCAAAUUGUCCUUCAGAAAUACUAAGCCAAUUUAUAUUUCUACCAACAGUUUAGGAAAGGGUCCCUUUUCCCUUUGCCUGCACCCUCACCAGCCUUCACCAACACAGCAGCAGGGCUAACCUAGACUUUUGGAAAUUGUUCCUGUAUCUGCCUACCCUUGUUUACCACCCCACCCCAUUCUCAGGCUAUUGGGAUUCAGGGUCGAUGGGAAUGACUCUCGUCCGUUAAUCACCAGGAGAUGCAACAUCCUUGCUGGGCAAGGCUCCUGCUGUGGACUCCUGCUGUGGACUCCCCCCACCGACCAGCACCGUAGGCCAGCUGCUGCCCCUACGAAGGACAUGCCAAUGAGCUCCCUGCAGUCUUGCAGAAGCAAAAACUUGCCCACUCAAGCAGGAGACCCCAGGCAUGCUUGAAGGUGGGCAGGUGCCUGUCUUCAUGUUCAAGUGGGCAGACACCCACCAAAUGCCAAAUGUGGGAUGCCGCUGCAUCACCUUCCUCUCAUGCUGCAUCGGAUAGUUCCCUGGACAACUGCGCUCCAUGGACUCACAAGCCCGCGCGAUGGGAGUCAGGGGAGGCAACGUUGUCUGCCCUCCUCUCCUCCCACAGCAUGCAGGAGGCCAGCGGUGGCGGGUGGCUUUGGUGAUAGGAGGGAGUGUGUGAAUUUGGGGCAGAAACCUGGUGGGAGAGAAAAAAGAGAGAAGAGAGAAAGAUGAGAAGACAGUGGCCACUGCUGGCUUGCAGGCAUUGACUCCCACUCCAAAACGCCUGACAUAGCCUCCUGGAUGUAGAAUAUCUCCCCUCCCCAACACAAAAAACCCCCUUUCCAGAACAAAAGCCCUGUCACUGAAAGCACUUAUUUAACAACAAUAACAGCAGAACACACAAGGUACAAAAACAUUUUUCUAAAAAAUUUUCCCAAUUCAAUUCAACAAAUAUUUAUUUUCCAGAAAAAGCGGAGAUAUAUAAAGAAAUAGAAAUGUGUGGGUUUUUUUCUUGUUUUUGAUUGAAAAGCCUAUCGGCACAACCAGGAGAACAGCACUGCCCUGGUGAGCCAAGCACAAUGGGAAAGCAUUUUUAAAAUAGAAAAGAACACUAAUAUAUAAAUAUACCCAGGUAAUUUUAAAACAUAGUGCAGCCUCAAUGCUAGGGUGGGGGAUGGGCCUCAGGCUCACAGGCAACCUGUGUUCUGUCUUCCCUGUGGGCUGCCUGGGGAUACAGUUUAAUCCAAGGUGAGCCUCCCUCAUUGUCUUAAAAAACCAUGUGAUAUGGGAGAAAAUGUAAAACUAUCACUAAUAAAGAUAUACCUAACUAGCAAAAACCAAUGUGGAAAAUAAUUUAGAAAGCAAAUGGGCCGGGCGCAGUGGCUCACGCCUGUAAUCCCAGCACUUUGGGAGGCUGAGGCAGGUGGAUCACCUGAGGUCAAGAGUUUGAGACCAGCUUGGCCAAUAUGGUGAAACCCCAUCUCUACUAAAAAUUUAAAAAAUUAGCCAGGCAUGGUGGUGGAUGUCUGUAAUUCCAGCUACUCAGGAGGCUGAGGCAGGAGAAUCUCUUGAACCCAGGAGGUGGAGGUUGCGGUGAGCUGAGAUCGCACCAUUGUACUCCAGCCUGGGCAACAAGAGUGAAACACUGUCUCAACGAAAAAAAUAAAAAAGAAGAAAAGAAAAGAAAGAAAGCAAAUGAGAGGCUGGACACAGUGGCUCAUGCCUGUAAUCCCAGCACUUUGGAAGGACUAGGCAGGCAGGUGGAUCACCUGAGGUCAAGAGUUCGAGACCAGCCUGGCCAACAUGGUGAAACCCUGUCUCUACUAAAAAUACAAAAUUAGCCAGGUGUGGUGUUGCAUGCCUGUGAUUCCAGCUACUUGGUAGGCUGAAGCAGGAGAAUUGCUUGAGCCUGGGAGGCAGAGGCUACAGUGAGCCGAGACUGUGCCAUUGCACUGCAGCCUGGGCAGUAAGAGUGGAAACUCUGUCUCAAAAAAAAAAAAAAGGAAAAGAAAAAGAAAAGAAAAAAGAAAGAAAGCAGAUGGGAGUCAGGAGAGCCAGUUUUGGGUAAGAAAAGAGCACCGAACUAGAAGACAGAAGGCCACUUCCCUGCCCCAUGCCUCAGUUUCCUCAUCUGUAAAAUGGAUUCUGUCACCUCUACUAUUCCUUCUGGCUCUAAUAGGCCAUGAUUCUAAAGGGGUUGCUUAGGAAUGUAGGGGCAAACAUGGUGGAGGAGAUGUGGAAAUCCCAUUAGGGACCUUCUAGCUACCUCUAUCUGAAGACAAAGACCAGGGAAGACAUCCCAGGCAAAUGAAUUGCGACCACAAAACUCCUUUAGGGAAACCAGUGGGCCCUGCCAAACUGAGCAGGAGUUUUUAACCUGUGUGCCAUGAAUCCUUUACAGGUUUUGAUCAUUGUGUCAAAUUGAUCUUUGCCACUGCUGUGGAUACACGUAUAUUUCAGUGAUUUCUUUUGCACAGAAGGGGGACAUGGGCAAGUUGUGUGAGAUGACACACAGUGGGCACCACUUGCCGUUGGGUAGAGGCAAGAGGCAUUGCUGAACAGGCUCAACUUGGCCAAGGAUGGUGUCUGAUAUGAACUGGAUGUGUGUCCUUGCUCAAAUCUCAUAUUGAAAUGUAAUCCCCAGUGCUGGAGGUGGGGCCUGGUGGGUGGCGAUUGGAUCAUGGGAGUGGUUUCUCAUGGUUUAACAUCAUCCUCCUGGUACCGUCAUCACCAUAGUAAGUUCUCUUGAGAUCUGGUUGUUUGAAAGUGUGUGGCACCUCCCUGCUCUCUCUCUUCCUCCUGCUGUGGCCAUGUGGAGCUCCUUGCUCCCACUUUGGCUUCCGCCACUAUUGGAAACAUUCUGAGGCCUCCCCAGAAGCAGAAGCCAUGAUGCUUCCUAUACAGCCUGCAGAAUCAUGAGCCAAUUAAACCUCUCUUCUUUGGCCGGGCGCGGUGGCUCACGCCUGUAAUCCCAGCACUUUGGGAGGCCAAGGCGGGCAGAUCACGAGGUCAGGAGAUCGAGACCAUCCUGGCCAACAUAGUGAAACCCCAUCUCUACUAAAAAUACAAAAAUUAGCUGGGCGUGGUGGCACGCGCCUGUAAUCCCAGCUACCUGGGAGGCGGAGGCAGGAGAAUCCCUUGAACCAGGGAGUUGGAGGUUGCAGUGAGCUGAGAUCGCGCCACAGCACUCUAGCCUGGCGACAAAGUGAGACUCUGUCUCAAAAUAAAUAAAUAAAUAAAUAAACCUCUCUUCUUCAUAAAUUACCCCAAUCUCAAGUUUGUUUGUUUGUUUUUUAAUAGCAGUGUGAGAAUGGACUAAUACAGUGUCAGAGAGAGGAACAACUCUACCCCACUGGUGACAUAUCCACACCAGUGAGAGCUGAUGGCCAAUGCUUUCAUGGAGUCUGUGUAUGGAGA